rnacentral:tRNA from 1 species
GGGCCCGUAGCCGGGCUGCUGCGGGUACGGCUGCUGCGGAUAGCCGCCCGACGGCGGGCCGUAGGACUGCGGCUGGUUCUGGCCGUAGGGAUCCU